rnacentral:lncRNA from 1 species
UGACUCCAAAAAUUGUUAAGUUAAACCAAGUAGAUUUCAACUCUGCCCUUGCUCCUGAAAAAUGGAGCAUUAUCCAGGAAAACACUUUGGCUUCUACUUCCUUAAAUCACUUAACCAAUCUACCUGAUCAACACUUCUCCAACUCUAAAGUACUUUCGCAGGAUGAUAUUUGCGUUAAGCAUCAUGGGGAAAGGUUGAGGGCAUUUAAGCAAACUCUAGCCAAAACGAGUUGUGAAGAUGCCGUUGAGGGUUUAGUCAUGAUUGAUGCUAUCCAACGCCUUGGCAUUGAAUAUAAUUUCCAGGAGGAAAUUGAUGCAAUUUUGAAAAGACAAUAUUUGAUUCCUACCACUAAUGACUAUGAUCUUCAUGAGACUGCCCUUCGCUUUCGACUCUUGAGACAAGAGGGUUACCAUGUCCUCCCAGGUAAUUAAUUGAUUUCCUUUCUCUAAAUUUCUGUUUCUUGGCUAUAAAAAUUACACCAAAAUUCACAACAUGCAUGAUUUCUUUACAGGAGUAUUUAACAACUUUAAAGACGAGGGAAAAUUCAAGAAGGAGCUGACAGAUGACAUCAAAGGACUAAUGGGUUUAUAUGAGGCUUCGCAGCUGAGCAUAGUAGGAGAAGAUAUACUCGAUGAAGCUGCAGACUAUAGUCACAGGCUUCUAAAUUCAUCCACGACACAUCUUGACGAUACUCAAGCCAGAAUAGUAAAGAAUACACUCCAAUACCCACAUCACAAAAGCUUGAGCAGGUUCAUGGCCAAAAACUUCAUUAGAGAUUUUCAGAGGCCAAAUGGGUGGAUGAAUGAACUACAGGAACUAGCGAAGAUUGAUAUGAAGAUGGUCCAGUCUCAACACCAGCAAGAAAUUCUUAAAAUAUCAAGGUUCCAUUAUUAUCAUAAAUGCUUGUGGGUAUUUUGUCCUUGUAAAAGCCUUAACCACGUAAUAAUUAAUGUUGAUAUUUUUCCUUUGGUGGGACUAUUUAGGUGGUGGAAAGAAGUGGGUUUGUCUAAAGAACUAAAGUUCGCAAGAAACCAGCCACUAAAAUGGUAUAUGUGCUCCAUGGAGACCCUUGCAGAUCCAAGCUUAUCAGAGCAGAGAGUAGACCUCACAAAACCCAUCUCUUUUAUUUUUUUAAUAGAUGACAUCUUCGACGUUUAUGGGACUCUAGAUGAACUUAUAUUAUUUACAGAUGUUAUUAACAGGUAUAUAAAUUGUAAAGUCCCUGGAAUAUCAAAUAUGAAACAGAUUUUAUCAAGCAAUUUAAGUAAUAACAGUUAAUUAAACUAAUUAACUAAUUAUCUACAUGCAUAGAUGGGACAUUGCAGCCGCUGAACAACUGCCAGACCACAUGAGGAUCUGCUUCAUGGCUCUUGACAAUAUCACUGAUGAAAUUAGUCACAAGGUCUAUAAACAGCUCGGCUGGAAUCCUGUAGACUCUCUGCGAAAAACGGUACAGGAAAACAAGAAACUCUUAUGUAUACAGAAACUAAAUUUUAAAUUUCCACAAGAUUGAUUAUAAUCAGAGGUCCUUUACGAUUCUCGCAGUGGGCCAGUUUGUGCAAUGCAUUUCUAGUAGAAGCAAAAUGGUUUGGUUCUGGACAGUUGCCAAACGCCGAAGAAUACUUGAAGAAUGGAAUUAUUAGUUCAGGCGUUCACGUGGUUCUGGUGCACAUUUUCUUUCUACUGGGUCAUGGUGUUACCAAGGAAAAUGUGGAACUCAUUGACAAUCAUCCACCCAUAAUGUCUUCUACCGCUGCAAUUCUUCGUCUCUGGGAUGACUUGGGAAGUGCCAAGGUACUAUAUUUUCGUGCCAAAAUCAAACUGAAAUAUUAUUUUAAGAUGUACAAAGUAAUAGUAAUGGGAAAGUAUAUAUGCAGGAUGAGGAUCAGGAUGGGCAUGAUGGAUCGUACGUGGAAUGUUACAUGAAGGAAUAUAAAGGAUGUUCGGUAGAAAGUGUAAGAAAGAAGGUAAACGACAUGAUUUCAAAUGCAUGGAAACAGCUCAACCAAGAAUGCCUCUCGCCAACUCCAUUUUCAUCGACUUUCAACAAAGCUUGUCUUAAUCUUGCAAGAAUGGUUCCAUUAAUGUACGGUUAUGACGAUUGCCAAAACCUUCCACUUCUUGAAAGCCAUGUCAAGUCUAUCCUGCCGGACAAUUUCUCUUAAUUGUACUGUAAAACAGUAAUUCUGAAAAUAAUCAUGUAUUUGAUAAUUCCUCGUUAUAAUAGCAAUGUAAAGAGGAUAGGAAAAUAAAGAAGUUUCAGUAAGGGUGAAUUACAGUUUAAUAUCUUUAAUUUGUAAAAUAUUUUAAAUUAAGAUCUCUAUUUUGAAAAAUUAAUUCAAUAUCUCUCUGUUUUGUUGACAUUCAACAUCCAUAUUUUAUAUUUUAUAAUUUUAUAUUAUAGUUUCUAGAAUACGCUGACAUAAUCAUGUUUUACUCUAGCUUUAGAUUCGAGUUUAAUUUUAAAUUUUGUCUUUAAGGUUCCAAAUAAUUGUUGUCCCAUCGAUAUAGUACAAAUUUUUAACAAGUAAUAAAACACAAGCAUUCCUCUCUUCAUGUUCGUCUUCAUCUUCUCCAUAGCUAGAAAACACGACACAAUUACGCAACAUUCUAAAAAAUAUUGAAAUACAUAUAGCAUUAUAAAAUGAGUGAUCAGUGCUCAAAAAUAUUUCAGACCGUAGACUGAAAGGAAACAAACACUUUAACAUUUCUUGAAACGACAAAAGAGUUAAAUUGAUUGCACAAGAUUAUGUUUGUUUUGGUUAGACAUAUGCACGUUAUUAUAUGUAUCUCAAGCAACUGCUGAUAGUCAUGGCAAUUGUUUUUGAAACCGACAAGUACUUGUUUUGGUCUUGACCACGUUUGUUAUUCUCAUUUCCACUCCCAUGCUCGACACACCUUCUCUCCACCAAUCAUGCGUAAAAACUUAUAUUUGUAAUUUAUAAUUUAUUUUUUAUAGAUAAAUUUACUAUGAUAUAUUAAAAUAAAAAAUUAAAAACAUGCGAAAAAAACUCAUCCUAUCUUCCUAAAGAUAGUAAUUUUACCCAAGUCAUCGGUAUCUAAUCCCACCCAAUUUUAACAUAUUCGAGUAAUAAAAAAUGGAUAUUGAAGUAAUAUUUUAUUUAUGAUUUUUCUUGUUUUUAUUUUCAAAAAAUAAAAAAAUAAUACUUUUAAUGUUAAAAAUGUUAAAAUGAGUAAUUGUAAUAGAAUUUGAGACGGAUUUAAAUAAUAGAAGUAAAAUUUUGAUGUAUUUUAAAUUGAGGUUGACCUUGUCAGAAAUUCAAAUCGACUAAAUAGCAAAUCCACAAAAUAGAUAUAAAAGUGAAAAAUUAACUAGCUAAUUAUUUAAUACUAAUAUUUGAAUAUUGAUGGACCCGAAUCCAAAUAAGUACAUACCAUAUAUUUUCCCCGCCGCGUGGGUUCUAACUGUGGGAUCCCUCCAACAUGUGUGACCCACACAAGUUUGAAGAAAGAAAAAAAAGGAAAUAUACCACGUUUUUUUAUAAAGGUCAAACAAGGCUGCAGAUAAAGAAAAAAAAAAAAAAGAAGAGAAAAACGUGUUAUUUGAAAAAGAAAGAAAAGUUGGCAAUCUUCUUUGAUAAAGUAUAAAGAUGUGAAUGAGUUAUACACGACUCAUUCAAUGAGCUGCCUAUAAAAGGAGGAUUAUAAUUUUGGAAAUUGGCUGAUAAUGACAACACAGGUCACAUGAAAGUGAUAUUCCAAGACUUUCCAGGAGGUGCAGAUGGUUUUGAGCUAGUUGCAAGGUUUUGCUACAACAAUGGCAAAAUUGAGAUAACUCCCUCUAAUAUAGUUCUACUAAAUUCUGCUGCUUAUUUCAUGGAAAUGGGAAAUAAUAGUAGUAGCUCAGCAACACUCAACUUAAUAGACCAAAUAGAAAAUUCUCUUGAAGAGAUUAAUUACUGGACUUGGUGACCUCCUUGUAGCUUUCAAACAAUGCCAAGAAAUAUUUCCUGCAACAAAUUCGUCAAUUCUACUUGAGAAAUUAUUGAACUCCAUUGUCGAAAAGCUUGCUAUGUCUACUGCAAGUCCAUUUAGAUUUUGCUCAGAGAAUUUUAGUUCCCAGCUUUCCUCUGAUGCAAGCAGCAUUUCUAGUACAAGAAACAACUGCUAUCUACCCACUUGUUGGUUUCAAGAUCUUUUGUUCUUGAAUUUCAACUUUCUCGACAAAGUGAUCAGGAUGAUGAUAUCCCUUAAAUUAAACCAUGUUAUCAUUUUUAAGUUUCUCAUCUUUUACAUGAAAUCAAGACUUCUUAGUAUUGGACUUGAUCAGAAGCGCCAAAUGGUAGAAGCUGUAAUAAGUAUGCUUCCAUUACUCGAUAAGAAUUGUCUUUCUUGCAAGGGCUUAUUUGAUAUUCUUCGAGUCAUCUCAAGCUUGAAAACAAUUAGAAAAUGCUACAAAAUCAAGUUAGAGAGAUUAAUAGGUUCACAGCUUGAUCAAGUAACUUUGGAUCAUCUGCUAAUUCGACCUCCCAAUAGGAAAAUUUAUACCAUGUACGAUGUGAAUUUGGUUUUAAGGCUUGCAGAAGCCUAUUUGCUUCAAGGUUGGAUAAGUCCAAGUCGGUUGAAUAAGGUUGCUUGCUUGAUUGAUUCCUAUCUAAUAGAAAUAGCUUUAGAUUUUCGUCUGAAACCUUCCACAUUCGCGGCAUUACUGUCAGUGCUUCCAGAUUCUGCAAGAAAAACUAGUGACAGACAAUACCAAGCCAUUGACUUAUACAUUGAGGUAUAUGUUCAUGUUUUUUUCUUUUAUUUUUAAUUUGAGAAAUAUUAUUACUGACUCUGGUGCUUUUCAGGUCCAUACUCAAUUAAAGGAAGAAGAAAAGGUUAAGUUAUAUUCUGCACUGAAUCAAACAAAACUAUCGGCCGAAGCUUCGCAAGCUCAAACUUACAAGGUUUACAUUACGCAGCAAUCCAAGCAUAGUAGCUCAAUCAUCAAAUUGUUUAAUGGUAAGUUAAAGAAAAAUGGUAGAGAAGAAGCUGAGCAAGUCCUUUCUUUCACAAUAAAGCAAGAACAUUCAAGGGAAACUGGGAAUCUUGAAACACACUUGCAACAAAUGCAGUUGAGAGUUGCAGAACUUGAAAAAAUUGUACAAUGAUGGAAUCCCACAUGCCAAAUGUAGCGGAACAAAGAUUGUGUAGAUCAGGCAAAGUUAUAUCGUUGCCAAAACUUUGUUCAUGAUAGAAAAUUAAUGUAUUAAUUAUGUAUAUACGUAGAUUUUGAUGUUUUUCCAAGUACAACCUCUUCUAACAUAGGAGACGGGAAUUCCAACCUUAAUUGUCCAUCUUCUAAUACAAAUUAGAGUGGUUAAUUAAGCACAAUAUUGUCGUUUUACCUAUUGGAAAAAUCAAUACAAAGUGCGCAUCUAUGUCUUCCUUUCCCAAAACCAAGAAUAAUUAAGAGAUGAAUGGAUGUUUCUGAAGAAUAUCUAUAUAGACUGCUGAGCCUACUCAGAGUCGAUUGAGCCAGCGAGCUAUGCGGGAAAAGGCACGCUCAUUUGAGAAAUCCGAAGCCCAAACUGUAAUUAAUGACGUUUCAGAAACCAAAGCAUUUUCUUACCAUACAUUAGUGUUCUUGUAAACGACAAACAGAUGUACAAAAACAAAACUCUCCAAUACUACUCUGGUAGAGCCACCAUACCUUCAGUAUCCUUCGUUUACCAACAAGUUACCUCAUCUUCAAUUAAACUAGGAAGUAAAGUAAUGGUAUAAUGGUAUAAAAACCUUCCAAGGGAACAUAAUCUUGAAAUGAAAUUAAUUUCAUACUCACAAAUUCCUAAAACGAAAUUAAUCUCAUACUCACAAAAAUAUCAGAAAGUCAUUUUCGAAUAUAUAAAAUUGCUUAUUUAAAUUUUUAAAGAGAAAUCCUUAAUUAACAAAUAAAAAAAGUUCUAUGGGUUUUCACAUUUUAUAAUUUUGAUUUAUGGAGAAAGCAAAGAAAUAAUCAUAUGAUGAUUGAUCAGUAGUCAAACAUAGAAGAGAGGCACUCAAGAAAUAAAUAUGCAUGUGUCUUUCUCCUUUUGGAAAGAGUGAUAAUUAAUUACCAUGGAGUUUUGUGAGCUUUAAAUUAUCUUCUCUUCUUCUUCUUUUUUUUUUUUUUUGAAAAAAAAAAAAUUGGCCAUUUAAAACUCAACUAGACCAACAUUCUUGAAAUCACCAUUGCAAUUUUCUAACAAAAACAUGUUUGAUGACAGUUAUUUUUUUUUUUCAAGUCUCAAAUUUGUUGGAAGAAGGGAGCAUUUAUGAGUGGUAGAGUCGAGAAACGUUUUCUUUCGGUUUAUGUGCCCCAGAUCAAAAUUUCUAAACAGGCCUUCACCAUGUAUUGGGUGACAGUAAUAAAAGUUGUUGGCCCAUAUGACAUGGGCCAAAUCUCACGGGCUUUGCUAUAAAUGUAUUUUUGAGGGCCUACUUGGGCCAUGGAACUAUAGAUGUACAAUACAGCCCACUUGAUCACCCGAAAACGAUGUCGUUGAAAAAAUUUUAGCUACUUACAAAUCGAAAGAAGUUCGUUUCAUACCGUCCCUGUCGUCUUGUCGUCGCAAACCAUAUUUUUUUCACUUGGAAUAAUUAAAAUAUAAAAAAUAAAACAUAAAUAUGGUUUUCAAUUAAAAUGUGACUUUUCAACAAAUGACUUCAAUUAAUUCCUCAUAAGAUAAGAAAUUUAAAACGAAAAUUCUUUUAUACCCUUAAAUAUAAUCAGGCAAAUAUAUAAAUAAACAUAAACUUGAAUGAAGUCCUCCAUCAGCACUUUAAUAUUUUCAUUAACAUAAAUUAAAAGAUAUUUAGUUAUAUUCUUAGCUAGAUGGAGAGGAAUUCCCUCAGUCACUGCUCACGAGUCAGGCGGCUUAGAUACAUAAAAAAAUUUUAAAAAUCGUGAUUGAGAUUGUUGCAAAAAUCUUACUCACACAAGAUGUUUCUGUCUGGGGCAAGAAAAGACUUUGAAACGAUGUAAAGGUCACAUUAAUUCUGCAAUGAGUAACACGUGCUUCUCAACUUUAAGACCAAAAAAAAAAAAAGAAAAAGAAAAAAAACACGUGAUGAGUUCGGUCCUAUCUAUUAUAAAUUAAGUAAGAUAAUCAGAGUAUUUCUAACCAUACACGUAUAAAUUUAAAAAAAGAAAAAAAACAAAACCACUUGCCCCAGGAUUUAGGCAAGAAAUUUUGUUAUAAAUUAAGCUCAUCAGCAUUAAUUCUGUGUGCAGAAACAUUUGAUAGAAUUAAUCUCUCACAAGUCACGAUGGCAUUGACUAUUAAAGCAUCCUUUACUUCUUCUCACACUCCAUUUCCUAAAAAGCAAUCUCCAAAAAUUGUUAAGUUAAACCAAGUAGAUUUCAACUCUGCCCUUGCUCCUGAAAAAUGGAGCAUUAUCCAGGAAAACACUUUGGCUUCUACUUCCUUAAAUCACUUAACCAAUCUACCUGAUCAACACUUCUCCAACUCUAAAGUACUUUCGCAGGAUGAUAUUUGCGUUAAGCAUCAUGGGGAAAGGUUGAGGGCAUUUAAGCAAACUCUAGCCAAAACGAGUUGUGAAGAUGCCUUUGAAGGUUUAGUCAUGAUUGAUGCUAUCCAACGCCUUGGCAUUGAAUGUAAUUUCCAGGAGGAAAUUGAUGCAAUUUUGAAAAGACAAUAUUUGAUUCCUACC